rnacentral:misc_RNA from 1 species
UGGAAGCAUGGAGUUCCAGGG